UACGUAGGGUGCAAGCGUUGUUCGGAAUCACUGGGCGUAAAGCGCGCGUAGGCGGCGAUACAAGUCAGAGGUGAAAGCCCGGAGCUUAACUCCGGAAUUGCCUUUGAAACUGCAUUGCUAGAGUGUCGGAGGGGAUAGCGGAAUUGCUAAUGUAGAGGUGAAAUUCGUAGAUAUUAGCAGGAACACCGGUGGCGAAGGCGGCUAUCUGGACGACAACUGACGCUGAGGCGCGAAAGCGCGGGGAUCAAACAGG
rnacentral:rRNA from 1 species